rnacentral:rRNA from 1 species
CCUACGGGAGGCAGCAGUGGGGAAUAUUGGACAAUGGGGGCAACCCUGAUCCAGCCAUGCCGCGUGUGUGAAGAAGGCUUUCGGGUUGUAAAGCACUUUCAGUGAGGAGGAAGGCUCAAAGGUUAAUACCCUUUGGGAUUGACGUUACUCACAGAAGAAGCACCGGCUAACUCCGUGCCAGCAGCCGCGGUAAU